rnacentral:rRNA from 1 species
GAUGAACGCUGACAGAAUGCUUAACACAUGCAAGUCUUUGGUGAAGCUGUGCUUGCACAGCCUAGCCAAGGCGGACGGGUGAGUAACGCGUAAGGAACUUGCCCUGCAGUCAGGGAUAACAGACGGAAACGACUGAUAAGACCUGGUAAAGUCAGGCGGACUCAUGUCCAGCCUGAUGAAAAGAGAUGCUGCAGGAGAGCCUUGCGCCCUAUUAGCUUGUUGGUGGGGUAACGGCCCACCAAGGCAAUGAUAGGUAGCCGGCCUGAGAGGGUGGACGGCCACAAGGGGACUGAGAUACGGCCCUUACUCCUACGGGAGGCAGCAGUGGGGAAUAUUGGACAAUGGGGGCAACCCUGAUCCAGCAAUUCUGUGUGCACGAUGAAGGUUUUCGGAUUGUAAAGUGCUUUCAGCAGGGAAGAAAAAAAUGACGGUACCUGCAGAAGAAGCGACGGCUAAAUACGUG